GGCCUGGUGGUGUAGUUGAAGCACAGUCCACCCAUGAUGGUAGUUGGGGCUACCUAUUCAUCUGCCAUAUGUGUGGAUUGGAAUGGGUUCGAAUCCCAUCCGGGUCA